rnacentral:rRNA from 1 species
AACGAACGCUGGCGGCAUGCCUAACACAUGCAAGUCGAACGAGACCUUCGGGUCUAGUGGCGCACGGGUGCGUACCGCGUGGGAACCUGCCCUUAGGUUCGGAAUAACUCCCCGAAAGGGGUGCUAAUACCGGAUAAUGUCUUCGGACCAAAGAUUUAUCGCCUUUGGAUGGGCCCGCGUUGGAUUAGCUAGUUGGUAGGGUACAAGCCUACCAAGGCGACGAUCCAUAGCUGGUCUGAGAGGAUGAUCAGCUACACUGGGACUGAGACACGGCCCAGACUCCUACGGGAGGCAGCAGUGGGGAAUAUUGGACAAGGGGCGAAAGCCUGAUCCAGCAAUGCCGCGUGAGUGAUGAAGGCCUUAGGGUUGUAAAGCUCUUUUACCCGGGAUGAUAAUGACAGUACCGGGAGAAUAAGCUCCGGCUAACUCCGUG